rnacentral:lncRNA from 1 species
GCAGGAUCCCUGGGCAUAGUCGCUUGUUCUCCGCCCGCGGUGGACCAGCUGCGUAACGGUUCACACACUGAUGGCGCCUGGAGGUUUGGCGAAAUACUGACAGGAUGCGACGUCAACGGGAGCGCAGGGCCAAGAUACCCUUUAUAUCAAACCGUCUAUCCUGGAGCAGAAAAAUCCUGUCUUCAUUGCUAUAGCUACAGAUUCAGAAAUGAGCAUGUAACAAAUUCAGGCCAAAGAGAGAUGGAGGAAGAGGCCAGGAGCUAAGGAAUCCAGGCCAUCUCUAGAAGAUGGAAAAGACAAGGAAGCAGAGUCAUCCCUAGAGGGAUCCAGAGGGAACAUGGCCCUGCUGACAACUUAAUUUCAGUCGAGUGAAACUUAUUUGGGACUUCUGACUUCAGAACUGUAAAAUUAUAAAUUUGUCUUGUCUUAAACCACUAAAUAGAUUUGUUACAGAGAAAAUAGGAAACUAAUUCACCGUCCAACAGCACAUUUUGUUCAAUCUGAUAUCAUUUUGGUUAAAAAUGUUUUUCACAGGAAAAAAUACUGGGAGAAUAUACAUUGAAGGAUGUAUAAUAUUUAUUACUGGGUAAGAUUUUGCUCAUGUCGUUUUCUAGAUUAUCUAUAAUAAAUGUAUUUUUCUACAACAAAUAAAUUUGUAAAGAAGGAA